CUUCUUGCCUUGACCGGUACUGCGCAUAGCGGGCGUCAGCGCUCCGCGCCGCGCCCCGUCCCUCGGCGGAGCGGCCGGGCUGCCCCAGCCGAGCGCUGCCGCAGAGGUGCGGGAGCGGGGAAAGGCCCCCUCGCCCCCCGCCGGGCCCGCCGCCCCGGCGAGGGGACGGGACCCGGGAGGGAAAGGACGGAGGCCGCGGCCCCCGCCGGAGCUGUGGGGAGGCGGCGGCGCUGAGGUAACGGCGGGAGCGGGCGAGCCCGGCCCCGCUGCCGCCCCCGCCGCGGCGUGCGGGCUGGCGCUGCGGGCAGGCCGGCCCCGGGGGGCUGCGGGGCGCGGGAGCAGCAACAGCAAACCUGCGAAACCUCCGCACGGGGAAAAAAACGUUAAAAAAGCUGCUUCCAUCUUUUUGCCACAAGUUAGAACCGUUUCAACAAACUGUUCGGCACUUCAGAAAGGAAUGACUUUAGCUGUUAUCUUUCCCUUCUCAAUGAACUGGCCGCAGAUGUGGUGAUAAGGCUUCGAUGGAAGAGAGGUUUGUUCUCAUCCCUUCACUCUGGCGGUAAGGGUGUUCUACUGGGAAUGGAAGAUGUUGGACUGAAUAUGCAGGAGGCUGCGGAGAAUAAAGCAAAUAUCUAAUUUCUUGGGUUAGAACUCUUUAACUACUGGAUUAAUAAGUAAAUGAUGGCCACAGGCUACUUCUCCAGAACGUUUUAAAUCCUUUAGCUCUGUUUAGUUCUUUAGAGGAAAGAAUGUAAGUGCCUACCUUCAAGAACAAGUUCUAAGCAGCGCAUCACAAGCAAAUAUAAGUUUCUUCAGAUUUUAGUCAAGUGCCUGAGGAAUGGGAUGGCGAUGUAUCACCAUCCUGUUUCCUGUUGGCUGUAUGAGUUACUGCCUGAGAUGCUUAAAAGGCAGGCCUGGGAUACACAGCCUAGAACCUGCAGGCUUUAUUAGCUUCAGUCCCUAGUAUCUCUGGAGUCUCCCUUGGUAUCACCUUGUCACUUACAAAACCUGCUGACAUGAGAACAUCUCGUCCACUUUCAGAAGGGCCAUGGUGCCUUUCUCACACUUCUUUGAAAAAUUGACCUUCAGCGUGAUUUGAAAGGAAAGGAAAAAGGAGACAACAAAAAAGGUUUGCAGUUUACUGGAGAUAAAUGCUGGAUGCUUGUCCCCUUGCCUUUCAAGCACACGUUUGAAUUUUCUAACGUGGAACUGCUGGUUUCUCAAUGUGUUCCCAUAUAUCAUUAUUCCUCUAUUAGUAUGUAGCUGCUCCACCACACACAUUGCUGUAGCUUGAUCAAAACAGGCAUAAUUAAAGACAGUUUCUGGAAGCUGAUGCUAUGUAAAUGCACUGUACAAUGAAAGUGAAAUUUUAAGACUGCAGCUAAUUAAUGACAAACAUUUUACCUACAGAAUGUGAAUUCUGUGUUUCUUGGAGUCUUUAAAUAGAAGUGAAAACCUUUCUAAAAGAUACGUUGUAUCUCAAAUGUAAGUUAUGGGACUGAUGGAGUGGUUACUUGGGUGAAGUUCAGGUGCAGUUCCCUGGCUGGAACCACACAAGGGGUCACACCAGAUGAUAACCAUAGCUUUUCCACUCAGUAAGCUAUAAAUCAUGAUAUGCAAUGAUCCACCAUAACAACACAGGACUCAACUCUUCAGAAUAAAGAGAGAGCUUAUCUUACUGAACAAUGCCUCUCAAAUGCUUUAACACAUUGUAAAGAGGAUUAUUUUAAUUAAUUGGUACAAUUUCCCACAUUUAUUAUAUGUACUGGAAUGUCAUUAGUUGCACCUGAUUUAGAUGUCCUAUUUUCAUUCUUAAUCCUAUGUCUGCAAUUGAACAGUAAGAAAUACAUCCUCCAAACAGCAGUCUGAAUUAUUAAAAAAGAAAGAAAGAAAAAAAAUUAACAGACUGGAAUUACCAUCUUUGGUAACUCAGUAAAUGUGGUGCAUGUUUGCCAUUAAAAUGAGGGAGUUUGUGUCACCCCUUAAAUAUUGCCAGAAGCUGUCUGUAAUUUGUCAAACAGAAAAAAAGUGAAAGGUGUUGAAAUUGUACUAGUAUUUUCAGGUAGUUUCCAGUCCCUUAGCCUUUUUUUUUCCCCUUCCCUUCUCCAGCCAGCCCAUCUACCUUGUAAGAAUUAUAGCCUGUCUUUGAAAUGGCUCAGAUGGAAGUACCGAGCAGGUAGAAAGCUCCUUGCUAUAUGCUUGAGCAGCUCUGAACAAUUCAAAGCCAUCAACAAGUUUGCAGUUCUGGAAGAAGAAGAGGAGAAAAAAAGAUGGAAAAUCUUUGUAGGUAAUACCCGCUCAGUGGAAAGCAGAGAAAAUGUGAAGACUUUUAUAGGCACAGAACACUGUUGUACUGAAAGAGGAAUCAUUUUUCUUCAGAGAAACUGCUGUCUGCAAAUGAGCGUGUUCACUGUGCACAGCCAUCCCUACCGAAGGCCCCAGCCCCCGGGGCAAACUUGAGUGGAAUACCACCUGCCUGUCACGGUGCACGUCUGCAGCGUGUUCUACAUACGCGGAACUCUGGACUUGCUUACCUAAACCCCUUUUCCCCUAUAAUAUCUUUGCUGACCACAAAUACUUCAACAGAAUCAUGAAGGAUAUGGCUGCCAACUUAUUGUGAAAGUGGACUAGUACCAUCUCCAAGCAUAUGAUGAGCCUUUGCUCAUCCGGUAGAUCAAGAGGAGAAUUCACUGGGCUCUGAGAAGAAUUUCUGUGUUCAAAUAUCCAGCUCUCAUGGAACAUCUUGUGGGUAUUGAAAUGAGGUAUCACUGUUGAAGAGUUGGUGGGACGCGCUGUUUGUACUGUAGUUCCUGUACUACGAGUGCUUGUGUGAUAACCCUGAACAGCUAAUACAAAUGUUAAACUAAAUACACAACUAUCAGGGCAAUCCCUACUUGUGUGAAUCAGGAACCGGGUCUCUUACCUUCUUCUAGCCUGUCUAGUUACUGGAGUCAUACUGGUCUCUAAUACAAAUCUAAAUUCCAGUUCCUGAAUUCUGAAAUCUAUGUUCUCAUUACUCUUGUAACAUAAAUGGAAGAUACAGUUCUUAACUAGUCCUCAGUUUGGUUUUGCAAGCUGCUGACUGCUAUUGAGUGUAAUUGCAAGCUGGUACAAUGUUAAUUCUCUUAGCCAUUUUAAUGACUCUGACACCACAGAGGAUGAACAGUUUCACUUGUUUUCCUGCAGUAAUUACUGAGAGGUUGUAAACCAUUACUCAUUAAAAAAAGUAUAUGCUUUAUGUAGUUGGCUGUAUAUA